rnacentral:rRNA from 1 species
AUGAAGCUGGAUUCGCUAGUAAUCGCGCAUCAGCCACGGCGCGGUGAAUACGUUCCCGGGCCUUGUACACACCGCCCGUCAAGCCAUGGAAGCCGGGAGUGCCUGAAGUGCGUGAGCGCAAGCAGCGCCCUAAGGUAAAACCGGUGACUGGGGCUAAGUCGUAACAAGGUACC